CCUACGGGAGGCAGCAGUGGGGAAUAUUGGACAAUGGGCGAAAGCCUGAUCCAGCCAUGCCGCGUGUGUGAAGAAGGCCUUCGGGUUGUAAAGCACUUUCAGUGGGGAAGAAAGCCUUGGGGCUAAUACCCUCGAGGAAGGACAUCACCCACAGAAGAAGCACCGGCUAACUCCGUGCCAGCAGCCGCGGUAAUACGGAGGGUGCGAGCGUUAAUCGGAAUUACUGGGCGUAAAGCGCGCGUAGGCGGUCUGAUAAGCCGGUUGUGAAAGCCCCGGGCUCAACCUGGGAACGGCAUCCGGAACUGUCAGGCUAGAGUGCAGGAGAGGAAGGUAGAAUUCCCGGUGUAGCGGUGAAAUGCGUAGAGAUCGGGAGGAAUACCAGUGGCGAAGGCGGCCUUCUGGACAGACACUGACGCUGAGGUGCGAAAGCGUGGGUAGCAAACAGGAUUAGAUACCCCAGUAGUC
rnacentral:rRNA from 1 species